AGAGUUUGAUCAUGGCUCAGGACGAACGCUGGCGGCGUGCCUAACACAUGCAAGUCUGGGAGAAUUGGGUAGCAAUAUCCAUAGUAAACCGGCGCACGGGUGAGUAAUAUAUAGGUAAUUUCCCUUUUGUUUUGGAAUAACUCCGCGAAAGCGGGGCUAAUACCGAAUGAUGCAGCGGAUCCGCAUGGAUAUGUUGUUAAAGCUUCGGCGACAAGAGAUAAGCCUGUAUCCCAUUAGAUAGUUGGCGAGGUAACGGCUCACCAAGUCUACGAUGGGUAGCUGAUCUGAGAGGAUGAUCAGCCACACUGGAACUGAGACACGGUCCAGACUCCUACGGGAGGCGGCAGUGAGGAAUAUUGCGCAAUGGAGGAAACUCUGACGCAGCGACGCCGCGUGAAGGAUGAAGGCCCUCUGGGUCGUAAACUUCUGUAGAGAGGGAAGAAUGUGCCAUUCGUUGGCAUUGACGGUACCUCUAAAGUAAGGGUCGGCUAACUACGUGCCAGCAGCCGCGGUAAUACGUAGGACCCGAGCGUUGUCCGGAAUCACUGGGUGUAAAGGGAGCGCAGGCUGACUUUCAAGUCGAUGGUGAAAUCUUGCGGCUUAACCGCAAAACUGCCGUCGAUACUGUCUGUCUUGAGUGUGGAAGAGGGUGGCAGAAUUCAUGGUGUAGCGGUGAAAUGCGUAGAUAUCAUGAAGAAUACCGGUUGCGAAGGCGGCCACCUGGUCCAUUACUGACGCUCAUGCUCGAAAGCGUGGGGAGCAAACAGGAUUAGAUACCCUAGUAGUCC
rnacentral:rRNA from 1 species